rnacentral:lncRNA from 1 species
GAACAAAUCUAAAAUAAUGCUUAUGAGUACUUGAGUGUAUUAUAACGCUUAUCGCAAUGUAUUUUUAGUUUAGGGUUUGUGUUGUUUUAUAUAUAUUCUAUUUUUUAUUUUAAAAAAUGUGUGGAUCUAGAUAUCCAAUUUUCUCAACAAAAGUGCAUCCAAUUUUGUGAGGAUACUUAAUUUGUACUUUCGGAUCCACAUUUUUUGGUUUGUGGAUUCUCUUGCCCUCCCUAAAUAAGAAUGCAUGACAGUAGGAAUAAUUAAGUUAGAGUUCUUUUUUUUUAUAUAAUGGUUAUAAUCUAUAAAUAUAUUCUAAUAUGAGAUCAGCUAGAGCUAUACAUUUAUGUUAUACCUUAAAGUUUACCAAGACCAGUUUAGAAAUCUACUCCUACUAAUGAUAUUAAGUUGUGUUAAAUUGAUUGAACCUUAUUCAAAGUACACAUCUUCGACAUAUGUAUUUUGAAUGUUUCAAUUAUUAAUAAGGAGUUCAAUUUUCUCUAUAUGUAGAUAGUUUUUAGUGUGAGAGAAUGGUAUGUUUAUUGAGAAAUUGAGUUUUAUUGCAGUUUAAAUGUGAGGAAAAUGCUAGUGAUUGUAAUAAAUAUUUACAUUGUGGAUUCUUUAGAGUCAUUGCUAAAAGCAAGGGAUGAUAUAUGUUGAUAUCAACGUCUUGUGUAGUUUAGAUUGAAAUCAAUGAUAUAUGUUGAUCCAAUCCAUGUUACACAAGGAAAGAAAGGGUGAUAUUGAUAGUGUCAGCUAAUGGAAAAUCUUGAAGGUGCUGGACGACCAAACCACUAUAAAGAAGAUUGUCGGAAUGGAGCAAGUCAACAAGUAGCUCUAAAUCACUAAAUGGAGACGUUGAUAGUGUCAGCUAACAAUAUGCCUCUUUUCUUCAUGAGAGAUUGGUUUAUCCUUUUGAUUGUGCAACAUAAAGGGAUAUGUUGCUACUAAUAAGUCCACAAGAUUUGCACACAAGACAUGUUUUAAUAUUUAUGCAAAGUGUGUGGUAGAAUUUUUAUGUUGAUAGUUGAGGACUCUCAUGGAAGCCAAACACGAUUUGUAACAUAUUCAGUAAUGUGAUUUAUAUGUACCAAAUAUGUGUACUCUGGAUAAGGAUUCUUGAUGUAGAGAAUUAUAGCUGCUAUAUAGAGGAUAAGAUUUUAACCACAGUAUAGUGUUUCUCAUAAGUCUUAUGUGAGUGUGGUUUUGGUGGACAUGACAUGAUUAUUUAGAUAUACGAUGGAUCAUGUUUCAUCACCUAAUUUAAAAACUCACCUAGGUGGAGAUUAUUAGAAAACAUAUCUCAUUUUUCAAUAAGUAUUUGUAUCCUAAUUGUUAGGAGAUUUCCUAUGAUAUUUUUUAAUUCAGGAAGAUUAUUAUUUAAGGAAUAAGUAAUUUUCUUUUAGGAUUUAGAUUAUUGAAUAAGGAAUACAAUUUGUAUAAGGAAACAAAUACUUCCCUUACAAGAAAUGAUAACUAUAUAUAAGAAGGUUAGGUUCACUUAUUAAUAAGGAGUUAAGUUUUCUUUAUGAGUAGACAACUUUUAGUGUGAGAGAAGUGGUAGAUCCAUUGAGAAAUUGAGUGUUAUUGACAUUUUAGGUAUGAGAAAGAUAUUAGAGUGAUUGUAAUUAUUUUUUUACAAAGUAUAUCUUUUUUUCUCAUCAUCUUUGGCUGUCGUAAUUUUUCUACGGUGUAAGAAUCUCUAAUAUAAAUUAUUGUGUUGUAUGAUUGACUUCAUUUUUCAUCUAUAUUUUUAGUUUAUUAUUUAUCAAAUCUUUUUAUUUACAAGAUCUUGGGUGGGAUUAAAAAUCCCUAACAAUUUUCUAUACGAAGAACCUUCCAUCGGCGCCCAUAACUUUUUUAUCAAACAAAAAAUACAGCCAAAUUAAUAAUUAGACCUGCCUAAAGCAAGCCAAAUUCAACUUGUUUCUAUCGAUAAUAACCAGCAUAUUAUUUGCUCCAUGAAAAUCUUAUGACCAAAUAAUGGGAGAAAAUUUGGUGAUUUUUUAAACUAAAAGUGGUCAAUUAAUCCAAAUGGAAGAUUAGUUAGAGUAUAUGCUUUUUAUUUAUGAUUUUAUCCUACAAUUAGAUUAGAGUUUAUAUGAUUUUUCUCUAUAACUUCAACAGUUUGACACUUUCACUCUGGAUUUUCAUCCUAUAUUUAGUCUAUAGCUCCUAUGUUCACAACUUCACAUUUAUAAUUUUUGGUCAAUUUUGCCUUAGCCUAGUUACAAUAAGAUGUUACACCGAGUCAUUUUCUUGUUCGAAUGCUCACAUGCAAAUUGGGAACAGAUCUUGUACGUGAUGGUGUGUGUCAGUGUGUGGCAGUUUUCAUUGGGGGCCGUUGAACCUUACAGUAAAACUGCACUCGUAACAUCGAGUUCCUUCACGUAUUCUCAAAAUAUAAAUCUGAGAAUGAUAUUUAUUGAUAAGACAAUGUGAAAUAAUCGUUAGAAAUUAGCCAUAAUGAUUCAUCAGUCACUAAUUUUAUUUAUUUUUUACUUCACAAGUUCACUUUUUGAAUCGUAGGCUAUUAAAGAAAGUUCGAAUGAAAUUCAAUUUUUAAAGUGCUUUUGGAUUAAUUUAAAAAUAACCUGAAUUUGGUUGUACUAUAAUUUAAAAAAAAAAAAUUUGGAACAUUUCCCCCCUGUGACUUAAUUAAGUUACCGUUUAUAUCAAUACAAUAUUACAAUAUACAAUUUGUAAGUCUAAACUUAAGGGCUUUUUGAGGAAGUAAUGAUGCUGAUUUAUAAAUUCUUCUGAGGGAGUAAUAUAAUAUUUUCAUAACACAAAAGGAUGUAAGUAUAAACUAAUUUAUCAUUUAGGAUUAUUGUUGGAAAGUUCAAAAGUAAUUUUAAAAAAUUAAAAAUUAAUUUUAAUAUUUUGGUAUUUUUUUUCAAAGUCACCCAAUCAUUGAUACAAUUCCACAUACACCCUCACAUGUAACAUAUAAAACCAAAAUUAUCCAUACUCAAUUAAGAA